CCUACGGGAGGCAGCAGUGGGGAAUAUUGCACAAUGGGGGAAACCCUGAUGCAGCGACGCCGCGUGAGUGAAGAAGUAUUUCGGUACGUAAAGCUCUAUCAGCAGGGAAGAAAAUGACGGUACCUGACUAAGAAGCGCCGGCUAACUACGUGCCAGCAGCCGCGGUAAUACGGAGGGGGCAAGCGGUAUCCGGAUUUAAUGGGUGUAAAGGGAGCGUAGACGGCAGCGCAAGUCUGGAGUGAAAUCCCAUGGCUUAACCAUGGAAGUGCCUUGGAAACUGUGCAGCUAGAGUGCAGGAGAGGUAAGCGGAAUUCCUAGUGUAGCGGUGAAAUGCGUAGAUAUUAGGAGGAACACCAGUGGCGAAGGCGGCUUACUGGACUGUAACUGACGUUGAGGCUCGAAAGCGUGGGGAGCAAACAGGAUUAGAUACCCGGGUAGUC
rnacentral:rRNA from 1 species